GAUGAACGCUAGCGACAGGCUUAACACAUGCAAGUCGAGGGGCAGCGAGGGAGUGCUUGCACUUCUGUCGGCGACCGGCGCACGGGUGAGUAACACGUAUGCAACCUGCCCUUGUCAGGGGGAUAAGCGAGGGAAACCUCGUCUAAUACCGCAUAUAUGAUUUAGAGGCAUCUUUUAAUCAGGAAAGAAUUAUCGGACAAGGAUGGGCAUGCGGGACAUUAGGUAGUUGGGGGUGUAACGGACCACCAAGCCGACGAUGUCUAGGGGUUCUGAGAGGAAGGUCCCCCACACUGGUACUGAGACACGGACCAGACUCCUACGGGAGGCAGCAGUGAGGAAUAUUGGUCAAUGGGCGAGAGCCUGAACCAGCCAAGUCGCGUGAGGGACGACGGUACUAAGUAUUGUAAAACCUCUUUUGUCAGGGAACAAAGAGACCACGUGUGGUAAGAUGAGUGUACCUGAGAAAAAGCAAUCGGCUAACUCCGUGCCAGCAG
rnacentral:rRNA from 1 species